AGAGGCAAGCCAUGAGGUCCUUUCUUUGGGUGGCAAGGUGAUGGGCAGGUAUCCCUAAGCGUCGGUUCCUUACCCAUCAUCCAAUGAGCUGUGUCCUUUGAAAUACUGUUGUAUUUUGAGGGGUGUGUGAAGCGGGGAACUGAACUGAAAGGAAACCUGGGCUGAGGAGGCUUUCUCUUAUGCUGUGUCCAGCCAAGCCUCGGAGAAUCACCGGGGUUUGUUUAUGGAAUUUUAUAAAUAGCCCCGAUGGCUGUCCUGGCUAAUACUUCCUGAAAAAGUUUCCAUCCUCCAGGACAAGGCCAGAGCUUCCCGGCUUGCCUGCUGCAGUUUAGCAAGGCUGGGUUACAGAAGGCCCCCAGGUCCUGCUUCUGCCUUGUCCAUUGUAACUGAGAUCAAAGCCUUCAAGCAGAUAACUGGAGCUCACCCUGCCUGCUGGAUACCUGCUUGCUGUUUCCCAAUACCUCAUAGUUAGACGACGCAUCUUACUAAAGUGAAACAUUCUGUAUCCCUUCAUGAGAACACUCUAGAAAAAUCUAACAAGAGAAGUUUUCCUCUUACUUUUAAAAAACAAGCCUGUCAUUUCUUAAUUUUCUCCCUGGUCCAUUUUCCACCGAUUGUCUUGCUCGGAGUAGCUCUAAGCACUCAAAUA
rnacentral:lncRNA from 1 species